AGGCAGCAGUGGGGAAUUUUGCGCAAUGGACGAAAGUCUGACGCAGCAACGCCGCGUGAAGGAUGAAGGCCCUUGGGUCGUAAACUUCUGUCAGUGGGGAAGAAAUGCCCGUAAGGGAGCUGACGGUACCCACAAAGGAAGCACCGGCUAACUCCGUGCCAGCAGCCGCGGUAAUACGGAGGGUGCAAGCGUUGUUCGGAAUUAUUGGGCGUAAAGCGCGUGCAGGUGGUCUGUUAAGUCUGGUGUGAAAGCCCUGGGCUCAACCCAGGAAGUGCAUUGGAUACUGGCAGACUUGAGUAUGGGAGAGGAAAGCGGAAUUCCGAGUGUAGGAGUGAAAUCCGUAGAUAUUCGGAGGAACACCAGUGGCGAAGGCGGCUUUCUGGACCAAUACUGACACUGAGACGCGAAAGCGUGGGGAGCAAACAGGAUUAGAUACCCUGGUAG
rnacentral:rRNA from 1 species